rfam:Triticum aestivum genome assembly, contig: Triticum_aestivum_CS42_TGACv1_scaffold_049718_1BS
CAUAUACUCCCUCCGUCCGAAAAUAUUUGUCGCAAAAAUGGAUAAAAAUGAAUGCAUCUAAAAUGAAAAUACAUCAAGAUACAUCUAUUUUUCGGACAAGUAUUUCCGGACGGAAGGAGUAUUUU